rnacentral:rRNA from 1 species
UACGUAGGGUGCAAGCGUUGUUCGGGUUCAUUGGGCGUAAAGCGCGCGUAGGCGGCCCGGUAAGUCCGCUGUAAAAGUCCAGGGCUCAACCCUGGAAAGCCGGUGGAUACUGUGAGGCUAGAGUACGGAAGAGGCGAGUGGAAUUCCUGGUGUAGCGGUGGAAUGCGCAGAUAUCAGGAGGAACACCAAUAGCGAAGGCAGCUCGCUGGGACGUUACUGACACUGAGGCGCGAAAGCGUGGGGAGCGAACAGG